AGAUUGGGCACCUGUGAGUUCAAUCAUGGAAGUAUAGUUGGCGAAUGUGUAUAUACUUCUGCAAAAAUGUGCCGACUAAAGGCUUCUGUGUUGAGCAAGCAGUGUGACAAGAAUCGGCCGGCUGCCGACACUUGCUUGAAGGAGGCAUAUGCGCACCCUUGACUAUUCCGCAGCUGCUGAGGAGUUGCCCGGACAGAAGGAGAAUUUAGACAUGAACAAAUGGGACGGAAGAAAAAUCUUCAAUGCAAAGCAAGACUGCUCAAUGUGUGCUUUGCAUCAUCCACAGACAAAUGAUGACCAUCUGGAUAGAAUGCUCCGUGUGCCAGAGAUGGCACCAUUCAGUUUGUCUUGGGAUGACAAAGAAGAACUUCAACAAAGCCAAAAUAGAAAAUGAUUGAAAGGGGCUUUUCUGCUGUUAAAUUAGAGACGUAUAAAUAAAUGACUGGUGUGCCUUGUAACUACUUUAACAUGUGGAACUGUUGCACUAAAAUGCAAACAUUGAUUUGACAUACAAUUUAAGAUUGUAAACAUUGUCUAACUUCCUAUAUAACAAAUUUAACUUGAAAUUAACAUAUCUUUAAAGUUAUGCAAAUAAAUGCAUAUUUUCAAUUUUUUUCUGCGACAAUCACUGAAUUAGUUAAUGAUUUUUUCAUCUUUAAAUGCAAUAUUUGAGAUUAUGUAUUUCUAUCAAAUCAAAACUGAAAAAUGUAUGACAGACAUGUAUAGAAUAAAUCAUACAUCGUUUGAUGUUUCUGUGACAAA